AACGCGAAGAACCUUACCCAGGCUUGACAUGCAGUAGACCGAUCCAGAGAUGGGUCUUUCCUUCGGGACUGCUGCACAGGUGCUGCAUGGCUGUCGUCAGCUCGUGCCGUGAGGUGUUGGGUUAAGUCCCGCAACGAGCGCAACCCUUAUCAUUAGUUGCCAACAUUUAAGGUGGGAACUCUAAUGAGACUGCCUGGGUUAACCAGGAGGAAGGUGAGGAUGACGUCAAGUCCGCAUGGCCCUUAUGUCUGGGGCUACACACGUGCUACAAUGGUCGGUACAGAGGGCAGCGAAACCGCGAGGCGAAGCAAAUCCCCCAAAGCCGAUCCCAGUUCAGAUUGUAGUCUGCAACUCGACUACAUGAAGAUGGAAUUGCUAGUAAUGGCGAGUCAGCAACAUCGCCGUGAAUACGUUCCCGGGCCUUGUACACACCGCGUGUCU
rnacentral:rRNA from 1 species